CCAGACUCCUACGGGAGGCAGCAGUGGGGAAUAUUGCACAAUGGGGGAAACCCUGAUGCAGCGACGCCGCGUGAGUGAAGAAGUAAUUCGUUAUGUAAAGCUCUAUCAGCAGGGAAGAAAAUGAUGGUACCUGAGUAAGAAGCCCCGGCUAACUACGUGCCAGCAGCCGCGGUAAUACGUAGGGGGCAAGCGUUAUCCGGAUUUACUGGGUGUAAAGGGAGCGUAGACGGCUGUGCAAGCCAGAUGUGAAAGCCCGGGGCUCAACCCCGGGACUGCAUUUGGAACUGCGUGGCUUGAGUGUCGGAGAGGCAGGCGGAAUUCCUAGUGUAGCGGUGAAAUGCGUAGAUAUCAGGAGGAACACCGGCGGCGAAGGCGGCCUGCUGGACCGUGACUGACGUUGAGGCUCGAGAGCGUGGGGAGCAAACAGGAUUAGAUACCCGGGUACC
rnacentral:rRNA from 1 species